CCUACGGGAGGCAGCAGUGGGGAAUAUUGCACAAUGGGCGAAAGCCUGAUGCAGCGACGCCGCGUGAGGGACGAAGGCCUUCGGGUUGUAAACCUCUUUCAGCAGGGAAGAAGCGAAAGUGACGGUACCUGCAGAAGAAGCGCCGGCUAACUACGUGCCAGCAGCCGCGGUAAUACGUAGGGCGCAAGCGUUAUCCGGAAUUAUUGGGCGUAAAGAGCUCGUAGGCGGUUUGUCGCGUCUGCUGUGAAAGCCCGGGGCUCAACCCCGGGUCUGCAGUGGGUACGGGCAGACUAGAGUGCAGUAGGGGAGACUGGAAUUCCUGGUGUAGCGGUGAAAUGCGCAGAUAUCAGGAGGAACACCGAUGGCGAAGGCAGGUCUCUGGGCUGUAACUGACGCUGAGGAGCGAAAGCAUGGGGAGCGAACAGGAUUAGAUACCCUGGUAGUCCAUGCCGUAAACGUUGGGCACUAGGUGUGGGGGACAUUCCACGUUUUCCGCGUCCGUAGCUAACGCAUAGUGCCCGCUGGGAGUACGGCGCAGGCAAACUCAAAGGAAUUGACGGCUUGAGAGNGCGAGCGACGACGAGGAGAG
rnacentral:rRNA from 1 species